rnacentral:rRNA from 1 species
CACGUAGGCACCAAGCGUUGUCCGGAUUUAUUGGGCGUAAAGAGCUCGUAGGCGGUUCAGUAAGUCAGGUGUGAAAUCUUUGGGCUUAACCCAAAGCGUGCACUUGAUACUGCUGUGACUUGAGUUCGGUAGGGGAGUGGGGAAUUCCUAGUGUAGCGGUGGAAUGCGCAGAUAUCAGGAGGAACACCGGGUGGCGAAGGCGGUUCUCUGGGCAUGUCCUGACGCUGAGGAGCGAAAGUGUGGGGAGCGAACAGGG